rnacentral:rRNA from 1 species
CCCUACGGGGGGCAGCAGUGGGGAAUAUUGCACAAUGGGGGAAACCCUGAUGCAGCGACGCCGCGUGAGCGAAGAAGUAUUUCGGUAUGUAAAGCUCUAUCAGCAGGGAAGAAAAUGACGGUACCUGACUAAGAAGCCCCGGCUAAAUACGUGCCAGCAGCCGCGGUAAUACGUAUGGGGCAAGCGUUAUCCGGAUUUACUGGGUGUAAAGGGAGCGUAGACGGCAUGGCAAGUCUGAAGUGAAAGCCCGGGGCUCAACCGCGGGACUGCUUUGGAAACUGUUAAGCUGGAGUGCAGGAGAGGUA